AACGAACGCUGGCGGUAUGCCUAACACAUGCAAGUCGAACGACACCUCCGUAUCUAGUUGCUCUCAGGUGCGUCACGCGUGGGAACCUUCCCUUAGGCUCCGGAUUCUACCCCUUCGUGGGUGCUAAUAUAGGGUAACUUCCUCUGAUCCAGGAUAGAUCGACCUUGUAUGGGCCCGCGUUGGAUUAGCUAGUUGGUAGUGUAAAAGCCUACCAAGGCGACGAUCCAUAGCUGGUCUGAGAGGAUGAUCAGCCACACUGGGACUGAGACACGGCCCAGACUACUACGGGAGGCAGGAGUGGGGAAUAUUGGACAAUGGGCGAAAGCCUGAUCCAGCAAUGCCGCGUGAGUGAUGAAGGCGUUAGGGUUGUGAAGCUCUUUUACACGGGAUGAUAAUGACAGUACCGGGAGAAUAAGCACCGGCUAACUCCGUG
rnacentral:rRNA from 1 species